AUUUAAUCUAAAUGACAGUCUUCGCACAAGAACAAAUGUGUAUAAACUAACCAUGAACAAAUUUAGACAGGAAAUUAGAAGAUGAUUUCUAACCAUCAGAAGAGUGAAGUUCUGGAACAGACUCCCAAUAGAA